CAUUGGCUAAAAGAACGUCGGAAGAGGAUGACGCAUUCCCCUUCAUUGGAGUUCUCUCGCGUCGAAAAAGCAAAGAAAUAAUUCACGCGCACAAGGCGAAAAGGGCAGGCAAGCAGACUAGCUUGAAGCAUAGCACCUAGUACAUAUACUCGUUUUACCGGCCUGCUGUCUCAAAUGGUUGAACGACGCAACCACGACGCCGACGCCGACGUCGACGACGUCGACGACGUCGACGACGUCGACGACGUUGACGACGUUGACGACAACGCUUUCUUGCAAUACACGCGAAAGAGAAUCGAGCGCGAUCGAUACUCUUGAACUGUAAACAAGGAGGAUAAAAAAAAAGGGCAUGUCGUUGUUGACGACGAGAGACACAUGACUCAUGCUAUCGAUCUGUAGCUUAUACGAUCGCCUCGAAAGCAAUAAUCGAGUUGGAACUCUGUCUCAAAAUUCUAAGGACUAAUAAUCUUAUUUACUGUACACUUAUAUAGAGUAUUAUCAAAUUGAAAAAUUGAAGAAUUCUAAACAAAAA